rnacentral:ncRNA from 2 species
UACUUUUACAUCAACAUUGGUUUCCGCUCAACAACGGAAUUAAAAGGGAAUCAGGUGAAAAUCCUGAACAUUACCCGAUGCUGUAAGCUUCACACAACAGCUUUCUUGCACAAGCCAACGCCACUGUUCCGCAAGGGAUGGGAAGGCCGCAAGAAGCGAAGCGAGUCAGAAGACCUGCCUUUGGACAUUUUAUUAU